GCUGGGGUACCGAAGUGGUCAAACGGGCAGGACUUAAGAUCCUGUGGCUUAGUGCCUACGCAGGUUCAAACCCUGUCCCCAGCA
rnacentral:tRNA from 1 species